rnacentral:rRNA from 2 species
CGAUUAAGCUACUAAGGGCUUGUGGUGAAUGCCUUGGCAGUAGGAGGCGAUGAAGGGCGUGUAUGGCUGCGAUAAGCUUCGGGGAAUUGCCAAAUUAAUUUUGAUCCGAAGAUUUCCGAAUGGGGGAACCCAACCAGCUUGCUGGUUAUCUGUAUCUGAAUACAUAGGGUAUGGAAGCGAACCCUGGGAACUGACACAUCUCAUGUACCAGGAGGAAGAGAAAUCAAUUGAGAUUUCCCUAGUAGCGGCGAGCGAACGGGAAACAGCCUAAACCUAGCACCUUGGUGUUAGGGGUUGUGGGGGCGUGAUAUGGGACUUGCGAAGAUAGAUAAACGGUAUGGAAAGGCCGGCCAUAGUGGGUGAUAGCCCCGUAAUCGAAAUCUGAACAAGCCUUAACGAUUCCCCGAGUAGGGCGGGACACGAGAAAUCCUGUCUGAAUCUGGGUGGACCAUCAUCCAAGGCUAAAUACUACCUACUGACCGAUAGUGAACUAGUACCGCGAGGGAAAGGUGAAAAGAAAGCAUAGUAUGCUAAUGAAAAGAACCUGAAACCACAAGCUUACAAGCUGUCAGAGCACUAUACAUAGACUUCGGUUUAUGUCUGUGUGAUGGCGUGCCUUUUGCAUAAUGAGUCAGCGAGUUAAUGUCUGUAGCAAGGUUAAGUCCCUAAGGGGAUGUAGCCGUAGCGAAAGCGAGUCUUAAAUGGGCGAUUUAGUUGCAGGUAUUAGACCCGAAACCUAGUGAUCCAGCCAUGGGCAGGGUGAAAGUCUGGUAACACGGACUGGAGGCCCGAACCGGUUAUCGUUGAAAAGAUAUCGGAUGACCUGUGGCUAGGGGUGAAAGGUCAAUCAAACUAGGAAAUAGCUGGUUCUCUCCGAAAUAUAUUGAGGUAUAGCCUCGGAUUAAGUUUACCGGAGGUAGAGCUCUGAAUGGGCUAGGGCGGCAUAUAGCUGUACCAAACCCAAUUAAACUUCGAAUACCGGUUAAAUACCUAUCCGGGAGUCAGUUGCGGGGUGAUAACGUCCCGUGUCGAGAGGGAAAGAACCCAGACCGUCAGUUAAGGUCCCAAAGUAUAUGCUAAGUGGAAAACGAUGUGGGAAUGCACAGACAGCCAAGAGGUUGGCUUAGAAGCAGCCAUCCUUUAAAGAAAGCGUAACAGCUCACUGGUCGAGUGAUCCUGCGCGGAAAAUGUAACGGGGCUCAAGCAUAUCACCGAAACUACGGGUGUCCGCCAAUUUUUGGCGGACGCGGUAGGAGAGUAUUCUGUAAGUCUGUGAAGGUCGAUCGAAAGGACGGCUGGAGAUAUCAGAAGAGCUUAUGCUGACAUGAGUAGCGAUAAAACGGGUGCGAAACCCGUUCGCCGGAAACCCAAGGGUUCCUGGGGAAGGUUAAUCCUCCCAGGGUAAGUCGGUACCUAAGGCGAGGCCGAAAGGCGUAGUCGAUGGAUAUCAGGUUAAUAUUCCUGAACCGUAUGAGUCGUAACUAAGGAGUGACGGAGAAGGGCAUACCCACGAUCUGUUGGAUUAGGUCGUUUAAGCGUGUAGGUUAGAUAGUAGGUAAAUCCGCUAUCUUUUAUCUGAGACGUGAUGAUGAGUCUUUGUAAUGAAGACGAAAGGGUAGAUCCCAUGCUUCCAAGAAAAUCUUCGUAGUCGUUGGCUUAUAUGACCGUACCGUAAACCGACACAGGUGGGUGAGGUGAGAAUCCUAAGGCGCUUGAGUGAAAUCUUGUUAAGGAACUCUGCAAGUUGGUGCUGUAACUUCGGGAGAAGGCACGCCUUUGAUGGUUAGUUACCUUGCGUAACGAAGCUGUUGGAGGUCGCAGAAACCAGGUGGCGGCGACUGUUUAACAAAAACAUAGGUCUAUGCAAAGUUGAAAAAAACGACGUAUAUGGACUGACUCCUGCCCGGUGCUGGAAGGUUAAAGGGAGGUGUUAUCAACUUCGGUUGAGAAGCUCCGAACUGAAGCCCCAGUAAACGGCGGCCGUAACUAUAACGGUCCUAAGGUAGCGAAAUUCCUUGUCGGGUAAGUUCCGACCUGCACGAAUGGAGUAACGAUUGCCACACUGUCUCAACAAGAAGCUCAGCGAAAUUGUAUUCGCGGUGCAGAUGCCGUGUACCCGCAGAAAGACGGAAAGACCCUGUGCACCUUUACUACAACUUGACUGUGAAUUUAGGACUGUGUUGUGUAGGAUAGGUGGGAGACUUUGAAAUUGGCGCGCCAGCGUCGAUGGAGUCACCCUUGAAAUACCACCCUGCAUAUUUUUGAAUUCUAACUCAGGACCCUUAUCGGGUUCGAGGACACAGUCUGGUGGGUAGUUUGACUGGGGCGGUCGCCUCCUAAAAAGUAGCGGAGGCGCGCAAAGGUUCCCUCAGGCCGAACGGAAACCGGCCGACGAGUGUAAAAGCAUAAGGGAGCUUGACUGUGAGACAAACAAGUCGAGCAGGUGCGAAAGCAGGCUUUAGUGAUCCGGUGGUCCCGUAUGGAAGGGCCAUCGCUCAUCGGAUAAAAGGUACGCCGGGGAUAACAGGCUGAUCUCCCCCAAGAGUUCACAUCGACGGGGAGGUUUGGCACCUCGAUGUCGGCUCAUCGCAUCCUGGGGCUGAAGUGGGUCCCAAGGGUUGGGCUGUUCGCCCAUUAAAGCGGUACGCGAGCUGGGUUCAGAACGUCGUGAGACAGUUCGGUCCCUAUCUUCUGUGGGCGUAGGAGUAUUGCGAGGAUCUGUCCUUAGUACGAGAGGACCGGGAUGGACGAACCUCUAGUGCACCAGUUAUCACGCCAGUGGUACAGCUGGGUAGCCAUGUUCGGAAUGGAUAACCGCUGAAAGCAUCUAAGUGGGAAACCAACCUCAAGAUUAGUACUCCCGGGGGCUUCGGCCCCCCUUAAGACUCCUUGAAGACUACAAGGUUGAUAGGCUGGGUGUGUAAGUGCAGCAAUGUACUUAGCUUACCAGUACUAAUUAGUCGUGAGGCUUGUCAUCUUCUUAUU